UUGUGUAAGUGCAAUUCCCCUACUCCUGCUCAUGGCAUCCUUUUCUAAUUUCAGGUGGUGAAGAAGAAGCAGCGAACAAGAAUAGUGGAAUUUUUUAUUGACGUGGCCAGAGAGUGCUUCAACAUUGGAAACUUUAAUUCAAUGAUGGCCAUUAUCUCAGGUAUGAACUUAAGUCCUGUAGCCCGGCUAAAGAAAACGUGGUCCAAAGUCAAAACCGCCAAAUUUGAUGUGUUAGAGAAUUUGUUUCUUCAUCUUUAAUUGAAGUCUGCCAUCUGGUGGAGGGAGAUGGCCAACCUUUAGCAAGAACAACUCUCCAUAAAGCUGUGAACAUCUAUUUCGGUUUUGUGACAUUUCUCUGCAUCUUGUCUACAUUUUCUUUCCACCCUUGUUUCUGUUCUUUUUAAUAUUUUCCCUAAUGUGCCCAUUUCAGUUUGUUUUUGCAACUUAUUUCCAUUGACUGAAGUAUUUGUAUAAUUAUGUUCAUUUUAGUUGUUAAUAUUUUAAAAUACACACUUUCUGUUGUGGGCGUAUUAGUUUGAACUUGCCCUAUAAGCCUUGUAAAUAUGUGAAUUCUUGAGCUGAGCUUGUUUUUUUCUUGCAAGGAAUCUGUGGACAUGCAAAAUACUACUUUCAUUGAGACUGCAGAAUCCAAUGAAUCCCCCCAUCCUUAUUACAAACUACACUCAAAUUGUUGUUGUUGUUGUUUAAAUCAUAGUCUAAGGUGGGGUGUAUGGACAAGGAGACCUGCUUCAUCCUGAAUCAUA